rnacentral:rRNA from 1 species
UACGAAGGGGGCUAGCGUUGCUCGGAAUUACUGGGCGUAAAGCGCACGUAGGCGGCUUUCUAAGUCGGGGGUGAAAUCCUGGAGCUCAACUCCAGAACUGCCUUCGAUACUGGAGAGCUUGAGUCCGGGAGAGGUGAGUGGAACUCCGAGUGUAGAGGUGAAAUUCGUAGAUAUUCGGAAGAACACCAGUGGCGAAGGCGACUGACUGGACAAGUAUUGACGCUGAGGUGCGAAAGCGUGGGGAGCAAACAGG